CUUGCUUCUCUUGAGAGCGGCGGACGGGUGAGUAAUGCCUAGGAAUCUGCCUGGUAGUGGGGGAUAACGUUCGGAAACGGACGCUAAUACCGCAUACGUCCUACGGGAGAAAGCAGGGGACCUUCGGGCCUUGCGCUAUCAGAUGAGCCUAGGUCGGAUUAGCUAGUUGGUGGGGUAAUGGCUCACCAAGGCGACGAUCCGUAACUGGUCUGAGAGGGUGAUCAGUCACACUGGAACUGAGACACGGUCCAGACUCCUACGGGAGGCAGCAGUGGGGAAUAUUGGACAAUGGGCGAAAGCCUGAUCCAGCCAUGCCGCGUGUGUGAAGAAGGUCUUCGGAUUGUAAAGCACUUUAAGUUGGGAGGAAGGGUUGUAGAUUAAUACUCUGCAAUUUUGACGUUACCGACAGAAUAAGCACCGGCUAACUCUGUGCCAGCAGCCGCGGUAAUACAGAGGGUGCAAGCGUUAAUCGGAAUUACUGGGCGUAAAGCGCGCGUAGGUGGUUUGUUAAGUUGGAUGUGAAAUCCCCGGGCUCAACCUGGGAACUGCAUUCAAAACUGACUGACUAGAGUA
rnacentral:rRNA from 1 species